rnacentral:rRNA from 1 species
GACGUAGGGGGCAAGCGUUGUCCGGAAUCAUUGGGCGUAAAGCGCUCGUAGGUGGAUCGGUAAGUCUGCAACGAAAGACCCGGGCUCAACUCGGGGAACGGUGUGGAUACUACCGAUCUUGAGGCAAUCAGAGGAUGAUGGAAUUCCCGGUGUAGCGGUGAAAUGCGUAGAUAUCGGGAGGAACAUCAGUGGCGAAGGCGAUCAUCUGGGGUUGUUCUGACACUGAAGAACGAAAGCUAGGGGAGCAAACGGG